AUGUCACCAGAUUCUACACCUUCAUCUCCGGUGACUUCUUCGUCGCCACCCCCCGAUUCUACCUUGGCGAUUCCUCCUUCUAUUGUUCCAUCUUUUCCUCAGCAUUACACUCGUCGUUCACGACCUGUGGAUGCCUCAUUGGAUGAGUCGUCCUCUUCCUCUCAGCCUACUUAUGGCUUGCGUUCUCGUCCUCGUCCGCCUGUUGAUCGCUUUGGAUUUCCCACCGCUGGUGCUGCUGUUCUUGAGCCGACUUCUUAUCGUCAGGCUGUUGUUCAUCCUGAAUGGCAGUUUGCGAUGGCAGAGGAGAUUGCUGCUCUUGAACGCACUGGUACCUGGGAUCUUGUUUCUCUUCCUCCCGGAGUCCGUCCCAUCACUUGUAAGUGGGUCUACAAGGUUAAGACUCGCUCCGAUGGUUCUCUUGAGCGUCACAAAGCUCGUCUUGUGGCUCGUGGUUUUCAGCAGGAGCAUGGUCGUGAUUAUGACGAGACUUUUGCUCCUCUGGCCCAUAUGACCACUGUUCGUACACUUCUUGUUGUUGCCUCUGCACGCCACUGGUCUAUAUCUCAGCUUGAUGUUAAGAAUGCCUUUCUUAAUGGUGAGCUGCGUGAGGAGGUGUACAUGCAGCCACCACCUGGGUAUUCUGUUCCUGAUGGCAUGGUAUGCCGUCUUCGUCGCUCUCUCUAUGGCCUUAAGCAAGCCCCUCGCGCCUGGUUUGAGCGUUUUGCCUCUGUGGUCACUACUGCUGGUUUUUCAGCAAGUGCUCAUGAUCCAGCAUUGUUUAUUCACCUUUCUCCUCGUGGUCGGACUCUUCUUCUUCUCUAUGUUGAUGACAUGAUCAUCACUGGGGAUGACCCCGAGUAUAUUGCCUUUGUAAAGGCCCGUCUUAGUGAGCAGUUUCUUAUGUCUGAUCUUGGACCUCUUCGCUACUUUCUUGGGAUUGAAGUCUCUUCUACCUCUGAUGGCUUUUUUAUAUCCCAGGAAAAGUAUAUCCAGGAUCUUCUUGCUCGUGCUGCUCUUACUGACGAGCGCAUUGUUGAGACUCCUAUGGAGCUCAAUGUUCACCUCCGUGCUACUGAUGGUGAUCCUCUCCCUGACCCGACGCGUUAUCGUCAUCUCAUUGGCAGUCUUGUCUAUCUAGCUGUCACUCGUCCGGACAUCUCUUAUCCGGUUCAUAUUCUGAGUCAGUUUGUCUCUGCUCCCACAUCGGUUCACUAUAGUCAUCUCCUUCGUGUUCUCCGAUAUCUUCGGGGCACGAUCUCUCACCGUCUAUUCUUUCCUAGCUCCAGUUCUUUACAGCUUCAGGCCUAUUCGGAUGCUACGUGGGCUAGUGAUCCUUCUGAUCGCCGUUCACUUUCUGCUUACUGUUUUUUCUUGGCGGUUCUCUCAUUGCCUGGAAGACGAAGAAACAGAUUGCAGUUUCCCGUUCGAGUGCUGAGGCUGAGUUGCGAGCCAUGGCUCUUUUGA
rnacentral:rRNA from 1 species